rnacentral:lncRNA from 1 species
AGUCUCGCGACUCCUGCUUGCUGGGCGCGGCUUGGGCCUCCAGGCUGCGCAGCGCAGCCGCUAUCGGGCGGACUGCAGUUCUUGCCGAGCAGUCGCAAUGAUUUGUAUGACAGCUGCUAGCCCAAGAGAGAGUUCCAGAAGAGGGCUACCUAACAGGUGCUGUGGCAUUUAGAAGAGGAAUGGAGCCAUUGUCAACGCACAGCUUGCAGGGGAGCAGGAGAGUCAGUCUAAGAAGGAAAUGUGAUGAUGGAAACAGAGGUUGGAAGAUGGAAGAGGACCCAGAGUCAAGGAAUGCAGGUAGAAAAGAAAAGCCUGGAUUCUCCCCUAAAGCCUCCAGAUGGAACACAGCCCUGCCUCCACCUUGAUUUCAGGACUUCUUACCCCAAGAAUCUCACCCGGGAGGAACCAUCUAUCAUCCUGCCUUGAAGGUAGUUUCUGCUGGAUCUGGUCAGACCUUUGUAUGGUAAUGAGGAUUUAAAUCCCCUGUUAGGAAAUCUGCUAGGUUAAUGUAAUUUGCUGUGGUUAAUGUUAAAUCACCUUUUUCUAGCAGAAUAGCCCCAUACUUUAAGAUUUUUGAGUUAGUAAGCUCCCUUUUUGCUUUUUGACUUAGGAUAGUUCUGAACUGGUGAGGUGUGCUCACAAUGAGGUUUCCUCUAAAGGUUAUUUUUCUGCUUUCUUCUGUUAGCAAAGCAGUUGCUGCUACAGAUUGAAUGCAUUUGGGCCAUCCACGGGUUCCUGGGUUAAGGAUUUUUGAUAGAAAGGCUACUGGUUGUCAGUGGCUUCAGUGCUUUCGGGCUAGGCCUUUGUUUACACUGACAACAAAAUGGUAUUGGAGUGUUAUGGGGUCACAGAGAAGACCUUCAAUUAUCAAUUAUAGGUUUUAAAUUUACCCUGGCUUUUAAAGAAAUAGGGUACACUUUUUUCUUUACUACUUCUAUCUUUCUCUUUCUCUCUUUCUUUCUCCUUUCUGUCUUUGUAGAUGGAUUUUGGAAACCCAGUGGAAGGAUGUUCGCUCAUUGCCCCCAUUUGCCACUAUAGGACUAUGCGCCUCCCUUUUAUUUACUCAAUUUGCUUUUAUCCUGAUCUAUUAUGUUGUUGUAGACCCAGUUCCAGUUGUUACAAUACUGGGUUAUCAGUUCUAAGGCCCUGGCAAGGGUGGUGUGGAACAGGUCCCACAUAACUGCCCAUGUCGAGAGCUCUAAGCCUAAAUUGGGAGGGACACCAGGGACAAGACUCCUGGGUUCAUAGCCUAGGGGCCUAAGGUCGCAGCAUAGAGCUUCCUUAGAUCCCUUUGGAGAUACUAAUACUUGGGAGAGGAAGUGAAAGUCUGAAGCAUUAGUAUCUAGGAGGCAGGGAUCAGAGGAAGUAGAUUCAGAGGUAAGGAGAAUUUUGGGGCUACACUUUCAAGAAAGUUGUGGUCAGGACCCAGGAGGUAUGGGUCAGAAGGAAAGGUAGAGGCACACGCACGGGUGACUGUUGAGUAGGGACUUCUGGCUGCGCCAUGAUCUCAACCGGCUAAUGCCGAGAGUUUGGGAUGACAGCUUUCUGCCUCUAGUCGGCCCCCGGCUUCCCCAGGGAAAUUGAAAGUGGAAGCUGGUUCCAGGUAGACCAGCGCUUCCAACCCAGAAGCGUUGGGGGUUGUUAGAAAGCCAUUCCCCAGACAGCCUCACACUUGAGUCUUAAGUCUGGUGGCCGCCCUAUCGUUUUUAACCGUCCGACAGGUGCCUGGUAUUUUCCUCCAAUUCUAAGGAAGGGUAGAACAGAAUAGCAAGCGAAAGCGCUUUGGAGGUCCCUUCAUGAUUGCCAAAAUGUUACCAGGGAGUCCUUGUUCUUAGAGCUCCAAAGAUGAUGGUGGGCCGCUUCCAUGAUGGCGGCAAGCCUCUUGUUCUCUGACCUGGGGUUCCUGGCCUCACGGAUACUAAGGAAUGGAAUCUUGGGCCAUGCAUUGAGUGUUAUAGCUCUAUUCAGCCCAAUUAGGAUGAACCCCAGGCACUUAGCCCGCGCAGGAACAAUGGCAAGCCUCUAGCCCGAUUGGGAGCAGCAAUGGACACUGCCUCGCUGGAUCACAAGUGCAGCAGAUCCACCCCUGCCAGAUCCAGAGGGUUGGAAGUCAGCUGCGGGUCUGCAAUGACGGCAAACAGUGGUGGACGGCGAGUGAAAGCUCAGCUCGAGCCAUAAAAAACACAGACCAGAAGAGUGUGCAGUUGCAAGAUUUAAUAGAGUGAAAACAGAGCUCCCAUAAAAUGGGAGGGGACACAAAGGGGGUUGCCCUUCAUUCUGUUUUUCAUAAGGACUGUACUAAUUUACACUCCCACCAACAGUGAAUAAGGGUUCCAUUUUUUGCACGUCCUUGCCAACACAUCUUAUCUUCUGUGUUUUUGAUAGUAGUCAUUCUAAUAGGCAUGAAGUGAUAUCUCAUUGUGGUUUUAAUUUGCAUUUCCCUGAUGAUUUGUGAUGUUGAAUAUUUUUUUCAUAUACCUACUAGCCAUUUGUAUGUCUUCAUUUGAGAAAUUCUAUUCAAGUCGUCUGACCAGUUUUUAAUUAGGUUAUUUGCUUUCUUACUAUUGAGUUGUUUCAAUUCCUUAUAUAUUUUGGAUAUUAACCCCUUGUCAGAUGUUUGGUUUGCAAAUAUAUUUUCUCAUUCUGCAGGUUGUCUCCUUACUCUGUUCAUUAUUUUUGUAGUUAUGCAGAAGCUUUGUAGUUUGAUGUAAUCCCAGUUGUCCAAUUUUGCUUUUGUUGCUUGUCAUUUGGGGACAUACCCAUAAUUGAUCUUAGCCAAAAGGCUGAGAAGUGAUUUGGGUCAUAUUAAAAAAUAUCAUUGCCAAGACCAAUAUAAUGGAGUUUUUUUCUAGGUUUUCUUCUGGUAAGUUUAUAGUUUCAGGUCUUAUGUUUAAGUCUUUAAUCCAUUUUGAGUUGACUUUUUUACAAAGUGUGAGAUGAGGGUCUAGUUAAUUUUUUUUUUUUGUAAAUUGACAAAUUAUAGUUGUAUAUAUUUAUGGGGUACAAAGCAAUGUUUUGGUUUAUUAAUACAAUGUGGAAUAAUUAAAUCUAGGUUGAUAUUAAAUCAAUAAAAUUGACAUCCAUCACUUUAAAUACUUAUUUUUUUGUCAUGAAACAUUUGAAGUUUACUGUUUUAGUGAUUUUGAAUUGCACAGUACACUAGAAUUAACUAUAUACGUCAUGCUGAUGUAAUAGAUUUCAAAAAACAAACACUUAUUCCUCCUGUUCAACUGAGGCUUUGUACCUUUUGACAGUCAUCUCCCAUUCACCCAAACCCCUAGCCUCUGGUAGCCAUCAUUCUACUCUCUGCGUCUAUAAAUUUGAUUGCUUUAGAUUCCACAUAUAAGUGAGAACCUAUGGUAUUUGUCUUUGUGUGUCUGGCUUAUUCCACUUAGCACAGUGUUCUCCAGUUCCAUCCAU